AUGCACGGGGAGGCACACGCAGUCGCGAGGUGCCGGGCCUCACACGUCGUCAUCGUCGGACGUGUCGCUGCUGCUCGUCUCCGUGUCGUCGUUCUCGAUCGUGGGGUGGAAAGUGCUGCUUUUCCAGGGUCCGAACUUGAAGUCACAGAUCAGGCCGUUUUUCAAAAUACCAUUUUUCCUCAGACCAUUCUUCUGCAACUAAAAUGCCAAA